UGGGGAAUAUUGCACAAUGGGCGAAAGCCUGAUGCAGCAACGCCGCGUGAGUGAUGAAGGCCUUCGGGUUGUAAAGCUCUGUCUUUUGGGACGAUAAUGACGGUACCAAAGGAGGAAGCCACGGCUAACUACGUGUCAGCAGCCGCGGUAAUACGUAGGUGGCAAGCGUUGUCCGGAUUUACUGGGCGUAAAGGAUGCGUAGGCGGAUUUUAAGUGAGAUGUGAAAUACCCGGGCUUAACUUGGGUGCUGCAUUUCAAACUGGGAAUCUAGAGUGCGGGAGAGGAGAAUGGAAUUCCUAGUGUAGCGGUGAAAUGCGUAGAGAUUAGGAAGAACACCAGUGGCGAAGGCGAUUCUCUGGACCGUAACUGACGCUGAGGCAUGAAAGCGUGGGUAGCAAACAGGAUUAGAUACCCUGGUAGUCCACGCCGUAAACGAUGAGUACUAGGUGUAGGAGGUAUCGACCCCUUCUGUGCCGCAGUUAACACAAUAAGUACUCCGCCUGGGAAGUACGAUCGCAAGAUUAAAACUUAAAUGAAUUGACGGGGUCAUAGCUGUUUCCU
rnacentral:rRNA from 1 species